UCAAAUGCGACGAAGAGAUGAGUAAAUAAAUGAAAUCUUUUGCAGAGAGCUCCGUUAGCUGAAAAGGAGUAAAGAAUUCGUUAUUGAACAAAGCCUCAGAGCAGCACAUCGGAACCUUUUCACGAAGGAGAUGGUGUGACAGGAGCUCCUGUUACAGAGCUAUAGUAUAAGCAUUACACGGUAAUGCCGUACUUGAAGAGGCUAAGAUGGCGACAUGUUAGCGAAUCUGGGGUGGUACCACGAGUAUUCUAAUCUCGUCCCUAAG
rnacentral:ncRNA from 1 species